rnacentral:rRNA from 1 species
CUGGAAUCGCUAGUAAUCGCGGAUCAGAAUGCCGCGGUGAAUACGUUCCCGGGUCUUGUACACACCGCCCGUCACACCAUGGGAGUCGGAAAUGCCCGAAGUCUGUGACCCAACCGAAAGGAGGGAGCAGCCGAAGGCAGGUCGGAUGACUGGGGUGAAGUCGUAACAAGGUACC